AACGAACGCUGGCGGCAUGCCUAACACAUGCAAGUCGAACGAGACCUUCGGGUCUAGUGGCGCACGGGUGCGUAACGCGUGGGAACCUGCCCUUAGGUUCGGAAUAACUCCCCGAAAGGGGUGCUAAUACCGGAUAAUGUCUUCGGACCAAAGAUUUAUCGCCUUUGGAUGGGCCCGCGUUGGAUUAGCUAGUUGGUAGGGUAAAAGCCUACCAAGGCGACGAUCCAUAGCUGGUCUGAGAGGAUGAUCAGCCACAUUGGGACUGAGACACGGCCCAGACUCCUACGGGAGGCAGCAGUGGGGAAUAUUGGACAAUGGGCGAAAGCCUGAUCCAGCAAUGCCGCGUGAGUGAUGAAGGCCUUAGGGUUGUAAAGCUCUUUUACCCGGGAUGAUAAUGACAGUACCGGGAGAAUAAGCGCCGGCUAACUCCGUG
rnacentral:rRNA from 1 species